UACAGAGGGUGCAAGCGUUGUUCGGAAUUAUUGGGCGUAAAGCGCGUGUAGGCGGCUCAGCAAGUCAGGUGUGAAAGCCCUCGGCUUAACCGAGGAAGUGCGCCUGAAACUAUUGAGCUUGAGUACCGGAGAGGGUGGCGGAAUUCCCGGUGUAGAGGUGAAAUUCGUAGAUAUCGGGAGGAACACCAGUGGCGAAGGCGGCCACCUGGACGGCUACUGACGCUGAGACGCGAAAGCGUGGGGAGCAAAC
rnacentral:rRNA from 1 species